UACGUAGGGGGCAAGCGUUGUUCGGAAUUACUGGGCGUAAAGGGCGCGUAGGCGGCUCGGUAAGCCGGAUGUGAAACCUCCAAGCUCAACUUGGAGCGGCCAUUCGGAACUGCUGUGGCUAGAGUCUGGUAGGGGAACAGCGGAAUUCCUGGUGUGAGCGGUGGAAAUGCUUAGAUAUCAGGAGGAACGACCAGUGGCGAAGGCGGA
rnacentral:rRNA from 1 species